rnacentral:rRNA from 1 species
AGGAGCUUGCUCUUGUGGAUCAGUGGCGAACGGGUGAGUAACACGUGAGCAACCUGCCCCUGACUCUGGGAUAAGCGCUGGAAACGGCGUCUAAUACUGGAUAUGUGACGUGACCGCAUGGUCUGCGUUUGGAAAGAUUUUUCGGUUGGGGAUGGGCUCGCGGCCUAUCAGCUUGUUGGUGAGGUAAUGGCUCACCAAGGCGUCGACGGGUAGCCGGCCUGAGAGGGUGACCGGCCACACUGGGACUGAGACACGGCCCAGACUCCUACGGGAGGCAGCAGUGGGGAAUAUUGCACAAUGGGCGAAAGCCUGAUGCAGCAACGCCGCGUGAGGGAUGACGGCCUUCGGGUUGUAAACCUCUUUUAGCAGGGAAGAAGCGAAAGUGACGGUACCUGCAGAAAAAGCGCCGGCUAACUACGUGCCAGCAGCCGCGGUAAUACGUAGGGCGCAAGCGUUAUCCGGAAUUAUUGGGCGUAAAGAGCUCGUAGGCGGUUUGUCGCGUCUGCUGUGAAAUCCCGAGGCUCAACCUCGGGCCUGCAGUGGGUACGGGCAGACUAGAGUGCGGUAGGGGAGAUUGGAAUUCCUGGUGUAGCGGUGGAAUGCGCAGAUAUCAGGAGGAACACCGAUGGCGAAGGCAGAUCUCUGGGCCGUAACUGACGCUGAGGAGCGAAAGGGUGGGGAGCAAACAGGCUUAGAUACCCUGGUAGUCCACCCCGUAAACGUUGGGAACUAGUUGUGGGGUCCAUUCCACGGAUUCCGUGACGCAGCUAACGCAUUAAGUUCCCCGCCUGGGGAGUACGGCCGCAAGGCUAAAACUCAAAGGAAUUGACGGGGACCCGCACAAGCGGCGGAGCAUGCGGAUUAAUUCGAUGCAACGCGAAGAACCUUACCAAGGCUUGACAUAUACGAGAACGGGCCAGAAAUGGUCAACUCUUUGGACACUCGUAAACAGGUGGUGCAUGGUUGUCGUCAGCUCGUGUCGUGAGAUGUUGGGUUAAGUCCCGCAACGAGCGCAACCCUCGUUCUAUGUUGCCAGCACGUAAUGGUGGGAACUCAUGGGAUACUGCCGGGGUCAACUCGGAGGAAGGUGGGGAUGACGUCAAAUCAUCAUGCCCCUUAUGUCUUGGGCUUCACGCAUGCUACAAUGGCCGGUACAAAGGGCUGCAAUACCGUGAGGUGGAGCGAAUCCCAAAAAGCCGGUCCCAGUUCGGAUUGAGGUCUGCAACUCGACCUCAUGAAGUCGGAGUCGCUAGUAAUCGCAGAUCAGCAACGCUGCGGUGAAUACGUUCCCGGGUCUUGUACACACCGCCCGUCAAGUCAUGAAAGUCGGUAACACCUGAAGCCGGUGGCCUAACCCUUGUGGAGGGA